GACGAACGCUGGCGGCGUGCUUAACACAUGCAAGUCGAACGGAAAGGCCCUGCUUUUGUGGGGUUCUCGAGUGGCGAACGGGUGAGUAACACGUGAGUAACCUGCCCUUGACUUUGGGAUAACUUCAGGAAACUGGGGCUAAUACCGGAGAGGAGCUCCUGCUGCAGGGUGGGGGUUGGAAAGUUUCGGCGGUUGGGGAUGGACUCGCGGCUUAUCAGCUUGUUGGGGGGGUAGUGGCUUACCAAGGCUUUGACGGGUAGCCGGCCUGAGAGGGUGACCGGCGACCUUGGGACUGAGAUACGGCCCAGACGGCAACGGGAGGCAGCAGUGGGGAAUAUUGCACAAUGGGGGCAAGCGUGAUGAGGCAACGCCGCGUGCGGGAUGACGGCCUUCGGGUUGUAAACCGCUUUCGCCUGUGACGAAGCGUGAGUGACGGUAAUGGGUAAAGAAGCACCGGCUAACUACGUG
rnacentral:rRNA from 1 species